rnacentral:rRNA from 1 species
AGAGUUUGAUCAUGGCUCAGAACGAACGCUGGCGCAGCCUAACACAUGCAAGUCGAACGCGUGUAGCAAUACACGAGUGGCGCACGGGAGAGUAACGCGUGGGACCUACCUUUUGGUUCGGGAUAACGUCGGGAAACUGACGCUAAUACCGGAUAAGCCCUACGGGGGGAAGAUUUAUCGCCGAUAGAUGGGCCCGCGUUAGAUUAGUUUGUUGGUGAGGUAAUGGCCCACCAAGACUACGAUCUAUAGCUGGUCUGAGAGGAUGAUCAGCCUCACUGGGACUGAGACACGGCCCAGACUCCUACGGGAGGCAGCAGUGGGGAAUAUUGGACAAUGGGGGAAACCCUGAUCCAGCCAUGCCGCGUGAAUGAUGAAGGCCUUCGGGUUGUAAAAUUCUUUUGGUGGGGACGAUGAUGACGGUACCCACAGAAUAAGCUCCGGCUAACUUCGUGCCAGCAGCCGCGGUAAUACGAAGGGGGCUAGCGUUGUUCGGAAUUACUGGGCGUAAAGGGCGCGUAGGCGGUUUGGUAAGUUGGAUGUGAAAGCCCAGGGCUUAACCCUGGAACUGCAUUCAAAACUAUCAGACUUGAAUUCGGUAGAGGUUGGUGGAAUUCCCAGUGUAGAGGUGAAAUUCGUAGAUAUUGGGAAGAAUAUCCGUGGCGAAGGCGGCCAACUGGACCGACAUUGACGCUGAGGCGCGAAAGCGUGGGGAGCAAACAGGAUUAGAUACCCUAGUAGUCC